rnacentral:rRNA from 1 species
UACGGAGGGAGCUAGCGUUAUUCGGAAUUACUGGGCGUAAAGCGCACGUAGGCGGCUUUGUAAGUUAGAGGUGAAAGCCUGGAGCUCAACUCCAGAACUGCCUUUAAGACUGCAUCGCUUGAAUCCAGGAGAGGUGAGUGGAAUUCCGAGUGUAGAGGUGAAAUUCGUAGAUAUUCGCAAGAACACCAGUGGCGAAGGCGGCUGACUGGUCCGGUUCUGACGCUGAGGCGCGAAAGCGUGGGGAGCAAACAGG